ensembl:snRNA U1 U1 spliceosomal RNA
AUACUUAUCUGGCAGGGGAGAUAUAAUGAUCCCAAGGUGAUUUUCCCAGGGUGAGGCUUAUCCAUUGCACACCUGAUAUGCUGACCCCUGAGAUUUCCCCAAAUUCAGGGAAACUCGACUGCAUAAUUUGUAAUAGUGGGGGACUGCAUUCUCACUUCCCCCAC